GAGCCGGUGAUGAUCAGCAGUGGCAGCGGUCUGUGAAGUGUUGAAGGCAUUGGAAACAGGUCCUGUUGAACUGCCAUCACACAAAGAUGAAGCCUUACCAAGCCAGGCCAACUCGCAAGUCAUUGCUGUGCUCCGUGUAAUUGAGGGAGGAAGUGGCCAUGACUCCACCAGCUGAACUCUGGAAUAUCAUCAGGAGAAUGUUGGUACCCGGGAUUGCGGGCUGUAGCCAAGAGAGUGCUUGGCUCCUGUAGAGAGUGCGUCAUCGCAUAAAAACCCCUUCUGAGACGACCACCACCCCCCUCCUGAUUAUUUAAACCAGAAUAUCAUACCCAUUCACUAAUGUUGCAAUAGAUCGCACUGGUCCUAUUUGUAUGGAAGGAGGGAUAGGAUACCUGUUGAUAGUCACUUGCAUGGGCAACUGUGCAGUCUACCUCGAUUACUGUCGCAGUCUCGACGCGGACACUUUCAUCUUAAUGUUUCAAAGGCUUGCAGCCACCCACAGGACACCAUCCAGUGUACAGGUUUAAUGUCAUGACGUUCAGUGCUGCUAGUAGCUUCCUGAAGGACUUUUAUGAUAAGGAUGUUACCCAGAAAUUCCUUUGGAAAAGAGGAAUUGAGUGGAUCUUCCAGACACCAAGGUCCCCAUGGAAAGUUUUUUUUUAACAAUUGAUUGGCGUAGUGAAGCGAACCCUGGAUACAACUUUAAGAAGAAAAAAUGUUUCAUGAUGAACACAUCCACACCUUAAUAAAGGAAGCAGAGGCUGUCAUUAAUAACCGGCCAUUGAUGUAUACGGGAGAUACCAGAGAGGAUGAGGUCCUCACUCCUUCACACUUAAUUUAAGGUGAUCUGGUGUAUCUGUUAGACUUUAACUACAAAGCAGCUGCGUCCCCAGUAUGUUCACCUCACUGAGGCACUAGGACAUUUCAAACAACGUUGGCAACAAGGCUACCUGAGUUCGCUACAAGAGUGACAUGACUUCCAGGUGGGACCUGCAACAGCGCUGCAAGUAGGAGACAUCACAUUGGUCAAGUUAGAACAGCACAAACGUAACUAAUGGCCUCUAGGUAAAAUCGAAGUAGUCUACCACGACAAACAGGGAGUUAUGAGGUCUGUUAAGGUUCUCUACGAGGGCAAGGAAAAUCUAAGGGCCAUCACACACACAGUACCACUUGAGGUGAAUGCACAUGAUGACAAUGCAGCAGGGAGGACAAAGACAAAGCAGCAGUUGUACGAGAUGAUGAUGGAACCAGGUUAGAGGAAACUGCACAAUUUGUUGAAUGAAAGUGAAAGUAGUGUUUCUCGACAGACUGACGAACUUGAGUUGAAUGAAGUAGAGCGGAAAAACGUUCAAAAUAAGCAAUCAGAGUUGGUAGUGAAUGAAAGUGUAAGAACGCAAACAAGGGUUAAUGUUGCCCAAAGCCAAAAGAUGUCGGAGUGGGUAAAAAACAAUGAAGUUUAAAAUGUCCAGUGUUUAUGUGUAAUUCAGGGGUGAACUCUGGAGGACUGGUGUCUAGUAGGGAGUUGAAGCAAAAGGAUUUUUCAGUUUACAUUGUCAAUCAGGUAGCUCUUGAGCAUCCAACCUGGGCAGAUCACAGGGCACGUUUUCAUUAUGAUUUCAUAUUUUAUGUCCCUUUGAUGUAAUGUCUAUUAUUGAAAGUGAUCACUCUGGUAUUUCAUUGAAUUUUUUGUCAUGAGCUACCCUCGCCUCAUAGCGUUGCGGAUGAGGAUAGGCCAUGACCAGGUCCAGACUCUCUGCUUCACCUGGGUAAACCUUCCCAUUGCUGUCAGGUUCCUCCAGAUUUUCUGUGAUGGAGGAUGUCGUGAAAAAUAUGAGCUCAAUUUUUCUUGGCAAAAUAUUUACCUAUGUUCUUGACUUAGCAAGGGAAGAAGUCAGACAGCAGGGCAACUGGUUCCCUUUAUGUUUGGUUAACUAUGUGUAAUGUAUCCAUAUGGGGCUGGUGAAUUCCACUAACUGUUGUUAGUAAUAACUGAAUAUGAUUUUAAACCACAUUGGUCAUAAUUCUGGCAAAAUAAACUCAUAUUUUAGAGUCACUGGAUUACAAAAAAACAAAUUGCACGAGGCUUGAGGAGUGAAAUUCUGCCUUCCCCUCAUAGCCGUCAUUCAGGAAGGACAUUCCACCCGAGUUCAUAGCCAGAAUAGUGUUGCUCACUGUAAUGUAAACAUUUCUCAUUAGCUCGUCUGUAUCAGUCAGGGCUUGUUUUCAUCAACGGUAUUUGAACAACAUUAGUGAAGCUGUUAGUGUAAUUUACUUUUUAUACCUUAUCGAUCUUAUCAAAUUUUUCAUGAGCCAAUUCAUUUUUCCUUUGAAUUCAUUCCAUAUAAAUAAUGACUUUCAUUUGAUUUAGUGUUACAGUAG